rnacentral:rRNA from 1 species
UACGGAGGGUGCAAGCGUUAUCCGGAUUUACUGGGUUUAAAGGGUGCGUAGGUGGGUAGAUAAGUCAGCGGUGAAAUCUCCAGGCUUAACUUGGAAACUGCCAUUGAUACUAUCUGUCUUGAAUAUUCUGGGGGUGAGCGGAAUAUGUCAUGUAGCGGUGAAAUGCUUAGAUAUGACAUGGAACACCCAUUGCGAAGGCAGCUCACUACGGGAUUAUUGACACUGAGGCACGAAAGCGUGGGGAUCAAACAGG